AUUGAACGCUGGCGGCAGGCCUAACACAUGCAAGUCGAGCGGAUGAACGGAGCUUUCUCCUGGAUUCAGCGGCGGACGGGUGAGUAAUGCCUAGGAAUCUGCCUGGUAGUGGGGGAUAACGUCCGGAAACGGGCGCUAAUACAGCAUACGUCCUGAGGGAGAAAGUGGGGGAUCUUCGGACCUCACCCUAUCAGAUGAGCCUAGGUCGGAUUAGCUAGUUGGUGGGGUAAAGGCCUACCAAGGCGACGAUCCGUAACUGGUCUGAGAGGAUGAUCAGUCACACUGGAACUGAGACACGGUCCAGACUCCUACGGGAGGCAGCAGUGGGGAAUAUUGGACAAUGGGCGAAAGCCUGAUCCAGCCAUGCCGCGUGUGUGAAGAAGGUCUUCGGAUUGUAAAGCACUUUAAGUUGGGAGGAAGGGCAGUAAGUUAAUACCUUGCUGUUUUGACGUUACCAACAGAAUAAGCACCGGCUAACUUCGUG
rnacentral:rRNA from 1 species